rnacentral:rRNA from 1 species
CAGGGAUUGCCUCAGUAACGGCGAGUGAAGCGGCAACAGCUCAAAUUUGAAAUCUGACCCCCUUGGGGCCCGAGUUGUAAUUUGUAGAGGGUGUUUCGGGCGCGGCGCCGGUCUAAGUUCCUUGGAACAGGACGUCACAGAGGGUGAGAAUCCCGUACGUGACCGGCGAUCAAGCCCAUGUGAAGCCCCUUCGACGAGUCGAGUUGUUUGGGAAUGCAGCUCAAAAUGGGUGGUAAAUUUCAUCUAAAGCUAAAUACCGGCCAGAGACCGAUAGCGGACAAGUAGAGUGAUCGAAAGAUGAAAAGCACUUUGGAAAGAGAGUUAAACAGUACGUGAAAUUGUUGAAAGGGAAGCGCUUGCGACCAGACCGGUCCGGGGGCGAUCAGCCGCUGCUCGUCAGCGGUGCACUCGCCCCCGAUCCGGCCAGCAUCGGUUUGGGCGGUGGGAAAAAAGUCCCGGGAAUGUGGCUCCCCUCGGGGAGUGUUAUAGCCCGGGUCGCAAUGCUGCCUGCCUGGACCGAGGACCGCGCUUCGGCUAGGAUGCUGGCGUAAUGGUUGCAAGCGACCCGUCUUGAAACACGGACCAAGGAGUCUAACAUCUAUGCGAGUGUUUGGGUGUCAAACCCAGGCGCGGAAUGAAAGUGAACGGAGGUGGGAACCCGUCAGACGGCGCACCAUCGACCGAUCCAGAUGUCUUCGGAUGGAUUUGAGUAUGAGCAUAGCUGUUGGGACCCGAAAGAUGGUGAACUAUGCCCGGAUAGGGUGAAGCCAGAGGAAACUCUGGUGGAGGCUCGCAGCGGUUCUGACGUGCAAAUCGAUCGUCAAAUCUAGGCAUAGGGGCGAAAGACCAAUCGAACCAUCUAG